UCAGAUGGGAAAGGUGACGAUAACCACAGAGAGCUGUUCAGCCUCCUAACACAACUAUUUGGUCCUUAUCCGAGCUUGUUGGAGAAGAUAGAACAGGAGACCUGGAGAG